AUGCAGAAUUAUUUAUAGCUUUAAUAACUAUAACUAACAAACAUAUGGAGGUAUUAGUUAAAGUUCAGUUCAAGCAGAAUAAUAGAAAGUUUACUCUAUAAAUAAAUAAACUCCAAGAACCACAAAAUAUGCAGUGUGAGAUGUAAGCAAUUUGGUUGAGACAGAACUCUAUAAUUGAAUGAAUCCAUUGUGCAUUCCUUGGCAUUUUAACUCAAAUAAAGCAAGUUAGCCAACUUAAAAUCCUUUUUGCAAGGAAAUGUGGAUACAAAUCUGUAACAAAUGACUGAAAAUGUAACAAAUCUGAAUAGAAAUGGACUUAUUCACUGUAAGGAA
rnacentral:lncRNA from 1 species